GACCUGAGCUCAGUCGAGAUCACCCGCUGAA
rnacentral:rRNA from 1 species